GAGUUUGAUCAUGGCUCAGGAUGAACGCUGGCGGCAGGCCUAACACAUGCAAGUCGAGCGGUAACAGAACUAGCUUGCUAGUUGCUGACGAGCGGCGGACGGGUGAGUAACGCGUGGGAAUCUGCCUGAUAGUGGGGGACAACAGUUGGAAACGGCUGCUAAUACCGCAUACGCCCUUCGGGGGAAAGUGGGGGAUCUUCGGACCUCACGCUAUCAGAUGAGCCCGCGUCGGAUUAGCUUGUUGGUGGGGUAAAGGCUCACCAAGGCGAUGAUCCGUAGCUGGUCUGAGAGGAUGAUCAGCCACACUGGGACUGAGACACGGCCCAGACUCCUACGGGAGGCAGCAGUGGGGAAUAUUGCACAAUGGGGGAAACCCUGAUGCAGCCAUGCCGCGUGUGUGAAGAAGGCCUUCGGGUUGUAAAGCACUUUCAGUGGUGAGGAAGGCUUGUAGGUUAAUAGCCUGCAAGAUUGACGUUAGCCACAGAAGAAGCACCGGCUAACUCCGUGCCAGCAGCCGCGGUAA
rnacentral:rRNA from 1 species